rnacentral:snRNA from 1 species
GUGCUUGCUUGGGCAGCACAUAUACUAAAAUUGGAACAAUACAGAGAUUAGUAUGGCCCCUGUGCAAGGACAUGAAAAUUUCUGAAGCAUUUCACAUUUUU